CCCUUAGAUGUUCUGGGCCGCACGCGCGCUACACUGAUGCAUUCAACGAGCCUAUCCUUGACCGACAGGUCCGGGUAAUCUUUGAAUCUGCAUCGUGACGGGGAUAGAUUAUUGCAAUUAUUAAUCUUCAACGAGGAAUGCCUAGUAGGCGCAAGUCAUCAGCUUGCGUCGAUUACGUCCCUGCCCUUUGUACACACCGCCCGUCGCUCCUACCGAUUGGGUGGUCCGGUGAAGCCUCGGGAUUGUGGUUCUUGCCGCUUUAUUGUGGCGUGACCGCGAGAACUUGUCUAAACCUUAUCAUCUAGAGGAAGGUGAAGUCGUAACA
rnacentral:rRNA from 1 species